GUUGGGAUAUGAGUCAGCACAACAGCUGCAGGGGUCACAGGCAGGAACCUGACCCCCAAUACACACACCCCACUCCCAACAACCCUCCUUGGGCUCCCAGGGCAGGGAGGGUGGAACACCUGACUCCAGCCAAGGAUUGAUUCUGUCUGGAUUCAGAACUGAGAGGUCAGCUUUGGGGUCACUGACCCUAUCCACACUCUGAGUCACAGCUAAGGACAGUUCUGGUGCCAGCCCCCUCCAUAUUCUCCAUGAGGUCAUUUAAACAAACCCUGGAUGCCAACUGGCCUCCUGGGCACUGCUCAGUGCCAGAGGACUGGACAUGGAAGCCAGGACUGCACAGCAGCGUCCGGGAACAGUGCUGCCAAGUCCUCAGGCGUCUGCACCCGAUGGCCUGGUCCCCAACUGCCACUACACCAGCAGGGGUACUGGAAGCUAAUUCUAUACCUGCGAUUCUGGACACGAACCUUUGCCAGAGAACUCUUUCUCUGCCUGGGUACCCGCUUGCACCGAUUGUGUCAGGACUCAGGACAGCGCCAGACCCUCCUUUGCCAAGCUCUGGCUGCAAGACCUUGCGAGGGUCUUGUAUCCACUGGGCAACGCACAGUCUGUUAGAAAACUAAAAAUAUAUAUGCUCCUAAAUACAAAAAUAAAGUGACAAAAUUGGAAAUUAAUAAAAUUUUAGUUAAUCUACCAAGUUAAACAUUA